rnacentral:rRNA from 1 species
CGCCGCGGUUAUACGAGAGGCCCAAGUUAAUAAUUAACGGCGUAAAGAGUGGUUAAUAAAGUUUAGUACUAAAGCCGAACCCCUUCUAGAUUGUUAUACGUUUAAUUGAAGGUGGGAAGUUCAGCUACGAAAGUGGCUUUAUACUUAUGAAUCCACGAAAGCUAAGGCA